CUCCGCCGGCGACCGGCGCACGGGUGAGUAACACGUAUGCAACCUGCCCCUGUCAGGGGGACAACCCGCCGAAAGGCGGGCUAAACCCGCGUACAUGCCACCGGGGCAUCCCGGAGGCAGGAAAGGCUUCGGCCGGACAGGGAUGGGCAUGCGGCGCAUUAGGCAGUAGGCGGGGUAACGGCCCACCUAACCGACGAUGCGUAGGGGUUCUGAGAGGAAGGUCCCCCACACUGGUACUGAGACACGGCCCAGACUCCUACGGAAGGCAGCAG
rnacentral:rRNA from 1 species